rnacentral:tRNA from 1 species
GCAUCGGUGUGGUUCAGUGGUAGAAUGCUCGCCUGCCACGCGGGCGGCCAGGGUUCGAUUCCCGGCCGAUGCA